GGAGUAUGGGCCGUGUCUCAGUCCCAUUGUGGCUGAUCAUCCUCUCAAACCAGCUACUGAUCGUCGCCUUGGUGGUCCAUUACACCUCCAACUAGCUAAUCAGAUGCAGACUCAUCCUGAAGCGAUAAAUCUUUCACGAAUAGUAUUGCAACUACGCGCAUAUGGGGUAUUAGCAGAAGUUUCCCUCUGUUGUCCCCCUCUUCAGGGCAGAUUCUCUACACAUUACUCACCCGUCCGCCACUUUCCUCUUGUGCAAGCACAAGAUUCUCGUUCGACUUGCAUGUAUGAAGCACGCCGCCAGCGUUCGUCCUCGAGCCACGGAUCAAACUACU
rnacentral:rRNA from 1 species